rnacentral:rRNA from 1 species
GACGAACGCUGGCGGCGUGCUUAACACAUGCAAGUCGAACGGAAAGGCCCUGAUUUUGUGCUGUGCCCGAAUGGCGAACGGGUGUGUAACACGAGAGUAAAGUAACCUUGACUUUGGCUUCACUUCACGAAACUAGAGCUACUACAAGCCAGGAGCACCUCCAGCAUGGAGGGGGAUGGAACGUUUCGGUGGUUGGGGAUGGACUCGCGGCUGAUCAGCUUGCUGGUGGGGUUGUGGAUUACCAAGGCUUUGACAGGUAGACGGCCUGGGAGGGUGACCGGCCACAUUGGGACUGAAAUGCGGCACAGACUCGUACGGGAGGCAGCGGUGGAGAGUAUUGCACAAUGGGCGGAAGCCUGAUGCAGCAACGCCGCGUGGGGGAUGAGGGGCUGCGAGUUGUAAACCGCUUUCGCCUGUGACGAGACGUGAGUGACGGUAAUGGAUAAAAAAGCACCGGCUAACUACGUG